rnacentral:rRNA from 1 species
AUUGAACGCUGGCGGCAUGCCUUACACAUGCAAGUCGAACGGCAGCACGGGAGCAAUCCUGGUGGAGAGUGGCGAACGGGUGAGUAAUAUAUCGGAACGUGCCCGGUCGUGGGGAUAACGUAGCGAAAGCUACGCUAAUACCGCAUACGAUCUACGGAUGAAAGCGGGGGAUCGCAAGACCUCGCGCGAUUGGAGCGGCCGAUAUCAGAUUAGGUAGUUGGUGAGGUAAAGGCUCACCAAGCCGACGAUCUGUAGCUGGUCUGAGAGGACGACCAGCCACACUGGGACUGAGACACGGCCCAGACUCCUACGGGAGGCAGCAGUGGGGAAUAUUGGACAAUGGGCGAAAGCCUGAUCCAGCAAUGCCGCGUGAGUGAUGAAGGCCUUAGGGUUGUAAAGCUCUUUUACCCGAGAUGAUAAUGACAGUAUCGGGAGAAUAAGCUCCGGCUAACUCCGUGCCAGCAGCCGCGGUAAAG